UGGGGAAUUUUGGACAAUGGGGGAAACCCUGAUCCAGCCAUCCCGCGUGUGCGAUGAAGGCCUUCGGGUUGUAAAGCACUUUUGGCAGGAAAGAAACGUCGCGGGUUAAUACCCCGCGAAACUGACGGUACCUGCAGAAUAAGCACCGGCUAACUACGUGCCAGCAGCCGCGGUAAUACGUAGGGUGCAAGCGUUAAUCGGAAUUACUGGGCGUAAAGCGUGCGCAGGCGGUUCGGAAAGAAAGAUGUGAAAUCCCAGAGCUUAACUUUGGAACUGCAUUUUUAACUACCGGGCUAGAGUGUGUCAGAGGGAGGUGGAAUUCCGCGUGUAGCAGUGAAAUGCGUAGAUAUGCGGAGGAACACCGAUGGCGAAGGCAGCCUCCUGGGAUAACACUGACGCUCAUGCGCGAAAGCGUGGGGAGCAAACAGGAUUAGAUACCCGUGGUAGUCCACGCCCUAAACGAUGUCAACUAGCUGUUGGGGCCUUCGGGCCUUGGUAGCGCAGCUAACGCGUGAAGUUGACCGCCUGGGGAGUACGGUC
rnacentral:rRNA from 1 species